CCAGGUAGAGGGCACUAUGUCACCUGCCUGAGCUCACCCCUCGAGCGCAGCAGCUGGGACCUGAAGCUCGGGUUAACCAUUAACCUCCUCCCUGGGGUCAGGAGCCGGGUGCAGGUCCCAGCGUGUGCUGGAAACCCGGUCAGCAUGGGGCACCUCGGUCCCCACACUCCUCCACCGGGGACGGAGGAUACCUCCUGCUCGGUCUCUGGGCCUGAGACUUGGUGGGGAUUAGGAGAGGAGGAGGGUGUGGAAGAGGGUGGCCUUGGAGUUGGAGUCAGUGUUUUUACUGCUGUGACCCAAAGACCUGAUGAGGCAAAACAUCAUGGCAGAGGGUGUGGCAGAGGAAAACAUCUCAGGACAUGGCCGUCAGGAAGCAGAGAGAGAGCGCCACUCACCAGGACAAAAUAUAUCCAGAGGCACAUCCCAGCCACCGGCCUCCGCCAGCCCUGCCCGGCCUGCCUGCAGCUGGACCCAGGGGGUCCCUUCAGGAAGAUCCACGCACUGACCAGGGCAAGGCUCUCCUGACCCCAUCAUGUCACCUCUCCGCUCUCGUCUCACACACGACCUUCUGAGGACAUCUAAACCGUGACACUGGGCAAGCGGUCUCCUCUCCCAGGGCCUCAGUCCCCUGUGUCCUGUGGUUAUCUACCUGUUGGACCUUCAGGAUAACCAGGGGCCUGGGGACUCUUCAGGGAUCCUGUGGAGGACGGGAGCCAGGAAUUGGCCCCUACCUGUCCUUUUUUUUUUCCCCCAGGGACAUGACUUGGGAAGGGAUAGGGAUGGGGAGGUCAUUGUCUGCCAACGGGGUGGGGCUGGGGCUCCCCCGGGGCGGUCCUUCUCCUCUCUAAGCCCUGGUCUUGGACCUGGGUGGUUUCUGGGGACGGCAGGGAAGCUCACAACCUCUCAGCUGCUGGGAGCAGAGGGGAAGGCUUGGGUUUCGAGAUCUCUGGGGUCAGGGAACCUCAACAAAUGCAGAGACAACUACCCCCUGAGUCCCAUUGUGGCUUCCCUGGGCAUUUCCCUGACAUGGGGCGGGGGUGGGGAGGAGAGGGAGGACAGAACAGGAGGGGACACUUUGUUCCAGCUUACUGAGCCCCCGUGGCGUGCUGGGCGCUGACCUGAGCCAUCUGCAUCAUGACCCCUUUAAGACCCACAGGUGAAGCCUCAUUAAUCCCCAGGAGGAAAUGAAGACCCCAGCGGGAAGGGGAGGUCCAUGGUCAGAGCCACGAGGUGCGGAGGUGGGGCUCACACUGUGGUCCUCUGGGACAUCUACCCUCAGAUGGUCUCCAAAUGCCCUGGAGGGAAAGAGGGAGCUGUCCCCUCCUGUCCUCUCUGUUCCUCUUACCCCAGGCCAGGUGGCAUCUUGUUCUAGCUUGGAGCUCAGCAGAGGGCUUCCUGACGAGUGGGGGCUUCCUGGCCUCCCAGGGGUCCACCUGGGCCUCCUGCCUUCCCUCCUGCCCCUCCUGCUGACCGGGCCACCAGGGUUCCUGUGGUGGGGUUUCCUGGUGCACAGGUAGGGCCCGGCCUGGGUGGGACGAGCAGGUGGCUGGUGACUUUCCUCUCUCCUGCCUGGCUUCAAACGUUGGUCCCCUCAGUCCCAGGUGGUGCCCUCAAGCAGGUGGGCUCCCUUCCUAGGCCUGUUUCUCCUCCCUUAAAUCCUGGGCCCGUGCCUCAGAGUCAUGUGAGGUAUGAAUCACGCACGUUCUUAUUGUCCUUUUAUCACCAUAGGAUUGUGCACAUGUGGAUCAUCUGUCACUUAUUACCAUUGUUCAUAAAUUCCUAAUCCAGGGGGGCUGGGCUGGGGCUCAGUGGCAGAGCACUUGCCUGGCAUGUGUGAGGCCCUGGGUUCGAUUCUCAGCUCCUCAUAUAAAUGAAUAAAACAAAGGUCCAUCAACAAUUUAAAAAAUUCCUGAUCCAGGCCAGGUGGCUGUGAUUAUCUUAUUGUACCUUCACAUCCAACUUCAGAAACACUUAAGCUCAAAGGGGGAGACCCUUUUCUUUUUUUUUUGGUACCAGGGAUUGAACCCAGGGGCACUUAACCACUGAGCCACAUCCGUAGCCAUUUUUCGUAUUCUAUUUAGAGACAGGGUCUUGCUGAGUUGCUAAGGGCCUUGCUAAGUUGCUGAGGCUGGCUUUGAACUCUCUGAUCCUCCUGCCUCAGCCUCCCGAGUCGCUGGGGUGAUAGGCGUGUGCCACCAUGCCCGGCUGGGAGACACUUUUCUAAGGUCACACAGCAAGGAGUAGAGCAGGUGAAGCUGGAUCCAAAUCCAAAUCUUAAGGACUUUGCGCCCUAAAGGCAUGUGCUCUGGGCAGCAUCCCAGAGAUCAGGGUGUCCUCGGGUCAGCCCUGUGAGCCAAGUGCCCGGGAGGAAGCUCUGCCCUCCUCUUCUAGCCUUGUAAGCUCAGGUAUUGUGUCCCCUCCCCUGGCAAAUGGGGCUACUCCACAAUGCCCCCCGCCCACCCUGGCUAAAGUUCCUGCUUUAAGGGUAAUCCUUAACCCCAGAGCCAGAGAAAACUGGAUUUUAAUUCUAACUUCAUCUGACUGCUGUGUAACCUCAGGAAAAUUGCCAUACUUCUCUGAGCCUCAGUUUCUUUGCUGGAAAAAUGGGAUCCAUGUGGCCGCUGAGAGGUUCAGGAAUCCACGUCACGUGCUGGCAUCGUGCCUGACACACAGUGAAUGCCCAGUAGCUAUUUGCAAUGAUGAAGAUGUGUACAUGCGGGUGUGGCAGAAGAGGCCAGCACUUGCAUGUGGGUGCGUGUGCCCACAUGUGGACGUGGUGCCCGUGACAAAGGCUGGCUUACUCCUGCCCAGAAAACGAGGGAAGCCCGGGAAGGAGAGAUGCCCGGCAGCAGCCGGAAGCACCGGCGCCUCCUUGGCCAGGACCCAGGGUCCGUGUGGCCUGGGCUGUGCUGAGGGGCUGGGUCAGCGAGCAGGCCAGGGCUGGGCCCCGAGGCGGAGCACAGGUCCAGUCCAGACCCAGGCAGAGGGGGCCGGGGGACAGUGGCCGCGUCUCUCCAGGAUCAGUGUUUGUGCAAGAGGAAGCCGAGCUGAGGUCCCAGCAUCAGCUCUGGGGAGUCGGUCCUGGCACGGAGCCGAGCAUCCAUCGGCCCUGACGGUCCCUCCCUGGCCUGAUGGCCCCCAGGGGUGCUCCCCCACAGAGGACAGUCGGUGAGGGCACUCAGCACGCCAAGGCCUCUCCUCUGGGCACAGCUGGAGAAGCGGUAGGACGGGGUGGGAGCCCUGGGCUGGGGUGCGGUGGCUGA